AACUAAUUUUCAAAAGUAAAUUUAAAAAGAUUCUAAGAAGAUUUUAAAAAGAUUUUGUUAGAACAUUUUAAAUAUAUUCAUUUGUAUUUCAAAUAAAAAGAUAAAGAUAUUAAAAGAUAUAAUAAUGAACUUAUGUAAAAUAAGAUAUUUUCUAGGAAGGGGAAAUUUUACUUUUACACUUUGUUUGGUACCAUUAUUCAAUUUUACCACCAAUCAAAGGACAUUUUCAUAAAUACCACAUUCAUUAAUGUGUAAAAGACUAGACUAACCCUUACCUUAUCCUCAACAUAUCUUCCUCUUUCUCGCUCGCCGAGAUCCAUCGUCUCCAUCAAGCUUCGCCGUCGAGAUUUCAUCAAGUUUCGUCGUCGUCUUCAUCGAACCUCUCCGUCGUCGUCUUCAUCAAACCUUUCCGUCGUCAUCUUCAUCAAGCUUUGCCGCCGUCGGCUUCAUCGAGCCUUGCCGCUGUCGUAUUCAUCGAGUUCUGCUGUCGUCAUCUUCAUCAAGCUUUAGUGUGUUGUUUCUGGUUUCUUAAUGGAUUGCUAUGUGAUCAAGCAUGUGAUAGAGAAUAUCCAGAGCCACUUUUUCAUGACUAUCAUGUUAAACUAUCAGAUUUUCAAUCAUACACACGUUUGAAUUGAUGAUGAGUUUCAGUCUUUCAAUCACACAAACACACAUUUAGACGACACUUCUUAUUUGUUUAGUAUUAUCUAAUCAUAUAUAGAUUCCUUAAAGUUUGGAUAUUUAAUUGAUGUGUUCGUUAAUCCAAUCAAAUGUGUAUAUUUUCUUUGAUUUUCUAGUUAAUUUUUGCAUGUUGGAUAAGUUUGAGCUAGUUUUGUCUGCCAGAUUCAUGAUUUUGAAUAAAAGUUUAUACAUUUUUCUGAUUUAUGUUGAUCUAUGAUGCUUUUGAUUUGAUUAGUAUAUGUUCUAGCUUGGUCUGUCAAGGUUUGAUUCUCUAGACAGUUGAUUUGAUUUAGAGUAUAAUCAAUAGAUCACUUUUUAUUGUGUGAUUUUAUAUUGUUCGUCUGUUAUGAAACUAAUUUGAUUUGUUAAUACAGUGUGUUUUUAGAUUCAAGAAGCAAGGGAAAAAGAGAGUGGUGAUGGUGUUAGUUCCUAGGAGAACUACAAUAAAACAUGAAUUAUUGAGAAAGAUGCUCUCAGAUUCUUAUAAAUCUGGGUUUUAUGAUAUUGUGCUAAUACACUAAAAUAAUUUAUAAGCUUUUAUAAAGUAGUAUUUGAAUAACAUAUAUAUAAAGGUUUAUAAAACCUAAAAGAAUAUCUUCACUUAGACAAUUUAUAAGGGGUUAUAAAGGUAAAAUAAAUCAGUUAGAAGAACUCUAAAUCAUUUAAAAAGUUUAUAACCAUUUAGAAAGUCUAAUAAAAGAAUUUAUAAGGGUUUGUAGCAUAUUUUAUAAGGGGUUUUAAGGAUAUAUAAAUAAUUUAUAAGGGUUUAUAAAACAUUCAUAAAGUUUAUAAAAACAAUUUAUAAAUUCUAUACACCAUUUAUAAAUAAUUUAUAAGGGUUUAUAAAAAAAUCAUAAAUUUUAUAAAAACAAUUUAUAAAGCUUAUACACCAAUUUAUGAGGGGUUUUUAAGGGUUUUUAAAUGGUUUAUGAAUCAGUUUAUAACACUUUUAAAACUAAAAUUAGUUUAUAAAUAAUAAUAAUUCAACUUAAAACCCCGAAAAUUACCUUAUAAACCCUAAAUCUGUUUAUAAAAUAAUAAAUCAGUUUAUAAACUCUUAUAAAUCAAUUUAUAAAAUGUUAUAAAUGUAUAUAAACUAGUAUUUCCUUUGUAAAAAUUUAAAAGGUAUUGUGUAUCAUUCAUAAACUCUUAUAAAAAUGUACCCAUCAAUAAGAGUUUAUAAUUAUUUAUAAGUCUUUAUAAAUUGGUUAAAAAUAAAUAAUACUUUUAUUUAUAUACGUAAUAGUAAGAGUUUAUAACAAUUUUUACAACGAAUUUAUAAGAGUUUAUAAAUCAUAGAGAGUUAAAAAUCAUUUUAUAAAGUUUCAUAGAUCAAUUUAAGAGUAUGAAAAUAAGUUAUAAAUAUUUAUAAAAGCUUAAAUAUAAAUACAUGAUAUAUGAUGUAACCAAUUAUUGCACCAUGAAGGAUUGAUUACAACAUGAUCACUUAAAAAAUCUAACAAGUCGUUUAAUAUGGCGUUGAAUAUUCCAUUCUCCUAUUCUAUGAUCAUCAUAUGAUUAUCAGGUAAUCAACACAUGAAUACAUUUUUAUAUUAAAAAUAAUCUCUAGAUAUAACGAAAUUAAUAUUUUUACCAGUCCAGAAGGGUGAGGCACCACAUAAGAUGAUAUACAAUAUGACACCAAUACUUCAAAUAACAGCUUCUGAAUUCCUUUUCAAAGCCUCUAGUGCUAUGUAAUAAGCAUCGAUCACCCACUAUAUCCUUGAACACAUCUCCUGGCUUGUAGAAAUCGGAGAGACCAAAGUCAAUGGUUCUGAGAGGAGAGUUCUCAUCUUCGUUCAGCAACAGAAAGUUCUCAGGCUUCAAAUCCCUGUCCCUGUGAAUAGCCCCAUGUCAUGACAAGUAAGCACAAUCUGAACAAUGUUUCUCAACAAAAAAACAGCUGCUCUCUCCGAGUAACUUCAUGUAGCAAUAUCCUAUUGAACAACUCUCCACCUGUGGAAAACCCCAUGACCAAAUGCACAUAAUGCUUAUCCUCAUAAGCUUUUUUAAGCUCCACAAUGUAAACAAUUUGUUUCUUCAUGCUUCUAUAAAAGCCCUAAAGUCCCUAAAUCAUUCAUAAGAAUCUAUAACCAUUUAGAAAGGUUUAUAAAACAAUUUAUAAGAGUUUGUAAAAUAAUUUAUAAGGGUUUACAAGAAUAUGUAAAUAAUCAAUAAGAGUUUAUAAAUCUUUUGUAAAGUUUAUAAAAACAGUUUAUAAAGUUUGUAAUUCAUUUAUAAAAUUUGUAAAUCAUUUAUAAAUGUUUAUAAAUUAUUUGUAAGAGUAUAUAAACCAUUUAUAAAGGCUUAUAAAGAAGUUUAAAAAGUCUAUAAACCGUUUAUAAAAUGUUUAUAAAAGAAAUCAGUUAGAAGGUCUUUAAAUCAUUUAUAAGAGUCUAUAACCAUUUAGAACGGCUUAUAAAUUAUAAGAAAAUUUAUAAGGUUUGUAAAAUAAUUUAUAA